rnacentral:rRNA from 1 species
CAAGCUCGACAGAGAACCGGGUGGAUGCCUUGGCGCUGAAGGCCGAUGAAGGACGCGGAGACCGGCGAAACGUUCCGGGGGAGCUGCAUGCAAGCCAUGAGCCCGGGGGCGAACUGAAACAUCUCAGUAGCCUGACGAGAAAAAAUCAACCGAGAUUCCCCAAGUAGUGGCGAGCGAACGGGGAGGAGCCCAAACCAUGCCAUCUUCGGAUGGGAUGGGGUUGUAGGACCAGCAGCACGAUCACGACGGAUGUACGCCAACAGGCUGGAACGCCUGGCCAGAGACGGUGAGAGCCCGGUUGCGAGACCAUCGCUGUGAUCCGACUGGCAUCCUGAGUACCACGAACCCCGGUGAGUUUGUGGGAAGCUGGGGGGACCACCCUCCAAGGCUCAAUACCUUCAGCGACCGAUAGUGAACUAGUACCGUGAGGGAAAGGUGAAAAGUACCCCGCCAGGGGGAUGAAAGAGACCCUGAACCCCGGUUCUCACCAGCCGUCAGAGGCCACUCUCGCAGGCGCGAGUAAGGGCUGAUGGCGUGCCUUUUGUAGAAUGAUCCGGCGAGUGCAUGCGCGUCGCUGUGGUUAACCAGCGCUAAAGCUGGGGAGCCAGAGGGCCACCGAGUCCCAAGCGGGCGAGCAGGUGGCGCGCAUGCGACCCGAAACCACGUGAGCUAUCCAUGGCCAGAGUGAAGCGGCUGUGACAGGCCGUCGAGGCUCGCACUCACCAGUGUUGCAAAACUGGGGGAUGAGCUGUGGAUAGGGGUGAAAUGCCAAUCGAACGUGGAGAUAGCUGGUUCUCCCCGAAAUGCAUUGAGGUGCAGCCACGCACAAGGACUAUCCUGGAGGUAGAGCACUGGAUGGGCUCGGGGCCAAGUGCUGGUUACCAACCCCAACCAAACUGCGAAUGCCAGGACAGAGAAGCGUGAGUGAGACGAUGGGGGCUAAGCUUCAUCGUCAAAAGGGAAACAGCCCAGACCACCGGCUAAGGUCUCCAAAUAGAUGCUCAGUGUCAAAGGCCGUUCGUGCGCACAGACAGCCAGGAUGUUGGCUUAGAAGCAGCCAUCAUUGAAAGAGUGCGUAAUAGCUCACUGGUCGAGUGCACGGGCACCGACAACGUAACGAGGCUCAAGCAUCAUACCGAAGCCGUGGAUCCCCAGGUGCCUCUUUCUUCUUUCGAGAAGAAGGGCCACAGCCCGGGGAUGGUAGGGGAGCGUUCUCUGGGCAGAGAAGCUCGACCGUAAGGACGGGUGGAGCGCAGAGAAGAGCGAAUGCCGGAAUGAGUAGC